rnacentral:miRNA from 1 species
GUUGGUAUUGCUGUAGGGUCCUGGGGAGGGAUUCUCUGGCAACCUGAGCUCUGACCCCGUGUCCCCCCACA